AUGACCUCACGGCUCUCGCGGAUGGGGCCGCAGCCACGCGGCGUGGCGGAGAGCAGCUCCGACGACGACGAGAGCUCCGGGGAGCGCGAUGCCCCCGCCGAGUUCCCCGAAUCCACGCUCUCACGGUUGUCGCUGUUGGGGCUUCAGCCGCGCGACGUGGUGGAGAUCAGCUCCGACGACGGUGGCUCGCCAGCGCCGGCGCCACGGACGCGGAGGAAGAAGGGCAAGGACGACAGCGACGACGAUGACGACUGUGUGGUUCUGGACGGCGACCCCGACAAGCCGCUCGCUGUUGCGGGCGCCAAGGCGAGGGCUUCAGGGGGCGACGCGUCAGACGAAGUGGAGAUCGUUGCCGCGAAAGGGCAGAUAGCAUGCAAGGACUUCCCUCACUCGCGUCAUCUAUGUGUUGACUUGCCCUUCAGCACUACUUCUCACGUAAAGCGCUGUAGCAUGUGCUACUAUUUUGUAUGCGAUGUUCCAGCUCCAUGCAAGUAUUGGGGUCAAGGUCUUUUGAAUGAUGAUCAUUGUCAUGCUACUGACAAGGAAGCCAAGUGGAAAAAACUGAGGCAAGCAUUCAAGUGCAAAACUAUGCCAGCAUCUUAUUCCGAGAAACACCUGGAUGACAUCGCCCGAGGCAACCGACGCAUGGCAGCCGCCCAUCACCCGAGGACCUCCGAGGCUCCCCUGCCCGAUUUGCCACCGCUGGAUGUGGUGUACCCAACAAAUCCAUCAGCCAGGCAGGUUCGCGUGGAGAACCUACCGUAUCACAUGGACCGGGAGGACCUUCCCGGGCUCUUCUAUCAUGCUGGCAGUGUUGUGCUAUCAGAGGUAUUUUACAACAGGGGAACAGGCCAGAGCCUUGGAUGUGGGCUUGUCACCAUGAAUACUGUUGAAGAGGCCGAGAAGGCUGUGGAGUUGUACCAUCAUAGCGAGUUGUGCGGCAGACUCGUUACUGUGAGCAAGGCAGCUGCAACUGGAGGUCGGGCAGAAGAAACACCGUCUCCCCGUCGAUCCGUGUCCUCUAUGUUCAUGCUCUUCGUGAACAAUCUGUCGCCGGAAGUGAACGGAUAUGAGCUGAAGCGGCUGUUCAGCGAGUUCGGCGAAGUGGUCCAUGCUAAAGUCAUCUACCAUCACACAGGAGCUCGGUGGGAGUCCAAGGAAUUCGGCGUCGUCACAAUGGCGACGCGCGAGGGGUUGAAGGUCGCCAUUCGGGGCCUCAACAAAGUGGUCUGGAGGGGCCGUGAACUGCGUGUGGGAUGA
rnacentral:rRNA from 1 species